rnacentral:rRNA from 1 species
GACGUAGGGCGCGAGCGUUGUCCGGAUUUAUUGGGCGUAAAGAGCUCGUAGGCGGUUUAGAAAGUCAGGUGUGAAACCUCCAGGCUCAACCUGGAGACGCCACUUGAUACUUCUAUGACUUGAGUUUGGUAGGGGAUCACGGAAUUCCUGGUGUAGCGGUGAAAUGCGCAGAUAUCAGGAGGAACACCGAUGGCGAAGGCAGUGAUCUGGGCCAAUACUGACGCUGAGGAGCGAAAGCGUGGGGAGCGAACAGG